rnacentral:lncRNA from 1 species
AUGUACUCCUUUUCCUAUUUGGAACCAGUCUGUUGUUCCAUGUCCAGUUCUAACUGUUGCUUCCUGACCUGCAUACAGAUUUCUCAAGAGGCAGGUCAGGUGGUCUGGUAUUCCCAUCUCUUUCAGAAUUUUCCACAGUUUCUUGUGAUCCACACAGUCAACGGCUUUGACAUAGUCAAUAAAGCAGAAAUAGAUGUUUUUCUGGAACACUCUUGCUUUUUCCAUGAUCCAGCAGAUGCUGGCAAUGCAAUUUGAUCUCUGGUUUCUCUGCCUUUUCUAAAACCAGCUUGUAUAUCUGGAAGUUCAGGUUCACGUAUUGCUGAAGCCUGGCUUGGAGAAUGUUGAGCAUUACUUUACUAGGGUGUGAGAUGAGUGCAGUUGUGCAGUAGUUUGAGCAUUCUUUGCAUUGCCUUUCUUUGGGAUUGGAAUGAAAACUGAUCUUUUCCAGACCUGUGGUCCCUGCUGAGUUUUCCAAAUUUUGCUGUAGAUAGAUAAUAUUUCAAGAGUGUGGUCCAUCACAUAAUCAUUGAUGUGCUGUGCUUAGUCACUCAGUUGUGUCUGACUCUUUGCAGCCCAUGGACUGUAGCCUUCCAGGCUCCUCUAACCAUGGAGAUUCUCCAAGUAAGAAUAUUGAAGUGCAUUGCCAUGCCCUCCUCCAGGGAAUCUUCCCAAGCCAGGGAUGGAACCCAGGUUCCAACAUUGCAAGCAGAGUCUUUACCAUCUGAGCCACCAGGGAAGCCCAAUCAGUGAUAAUCUGACACAAAGGGGAAAAACGUUAGGACAUCAUGAGAGAACUGAGGGGGAAAUUUAAAAAACAAACAACCAACCAACAACAACAACAACAAUAAAAAAAAAAAAACAGAAAUAAAAACCAGAAAUGAAUCAUCAAAAUUUCAGGUGUUAGAAAAACAAACGCAGACUGUAAAUUAACUAUACAUAAAUAAAUUUCAAACAGCAAUAAACUCAGCAAGGCACAGUACAGAAUUAUACACGUAAAGGUUUGUUAAGAUGGUAGAUCUCAUUUUAUGUUUU